rnacentral:rRNA from 1 species
CUACGGGAGGCAGCAGUAGGGAAUCUUGCGCAAUGGGCGAAAGCCUGACGCAGCGACGCCGCGUGCGGGAUGACGGCCCUAGUGGUUGUAAACCGCUUUCAGCAGGGACGAAAAUGACGGUACCUGCAGAAGAAGUCCCGGCUAACUACGUGCCAGCAGCCGCGGUAAUACGUAGGGGACAAGCGUUGUCCGGAUUCAUUGGGCGUAAAGAGCUCGUAGGCGGUUCAGUAAGUUGGGUGUGAAAGCUCCGGGCUCAACCCGGAGAGGCCACUCAAUACUGCUGUGACUAGAGUCCAGUAGAGGAGCGUGGAACUCCUGGUGUAGCGGUGAAAUGCGCAGAUAUCAGGAAGAACACCGGCAGCGAAGGCGGCGCUCUGGGCUGGUACUGACGCUGAGGAGCGAAAGCAUGGGUAGCAAACAGGAUUAGAAACCCCUGUAGUCC